rnacentral:rRNA from 1 species
GACGAACGCUGGCGGUGUGCUUAACACAUGCAAGUGGAGCGACGAACCAGAGCUUGCUCUGGGGCAGAGCCGCGAACGGGUGAGUAACACGUGGGUAACCUACCCUGAUGACUGGGACAACCCGAGGAAACUCGGGCUAAUACCGGAUGUGCUCUCCUCUCACGAGAGAGGCGAGUAAAGGAAGCUUCGGCCCCCGCAUCAGGAGGGGCCCGCGGCCCAUUCGUUUGUUGGGGGGGUAACGACCUACCGAGACUGCGAUGGGUAGCUGGUCUGAGAGGACGAUCAGCCACACUGGGACUGAGACACGGCCCAGACUCCUACGGGAGGCAGCAGUGGGGAAUCUUGCGCAAUGCGCGACAGCGUGACGCAGCAACACCGCGUGGGGGAAGAAGGCCUUCGGGUUGUAAACCCCUUUCAGGAGGGACGAAGGCCGGCCGGUGAAUAGCCGUGCCGGUUGACGGUACCUCCACAAGAAGCCCCGGCUAACUACGUGCCAGCAGCCGCCGUAA